rnacentral:rRNA from 1 species
GAGUUUGAUCCUGGCUCAGAUUGAACGCUGGCGGCAUGCCUUACACAUGCAAGUCGAACGGUAACAGGGAGCUUGCUCCGCUGACGAGUGGCGAACGGGUGAGUAAUGUAUCGGAACGUACCAUUCAGUGGGGGAUAACGUAGCGAAAGUUACGCUAAUACCGCAUAUUCUGUGAGCAGGAAAGCAGGGGAUCGCAAGACCUUGCGCUGAUUGAGCGGCCGAUAUCAGAUUAGCUAGUUGGUGAGGUAAAGGCUCACCAAGGCGACGAUCUGUAGCGGGUCUGAGAGGAUGAUCCGCCACACUGGAACUGAGACACGGUCCAGACUCCUACGGGAGGCAGCAGUGGGGAAUUUUGGACAAUGGGGGCAACCCUGAUCCAGCCAUGCCGCGCCAGUGAAGAAGGCCUUCGGGUUGUAAAGCUCUUUCGGCCGGGAAAAAAUCGCAUGGGUUAAUACCCUGUGUGGAUGAUGGUACCGGAAUAAGAAGCACCGGCUAACUACGUGCCAGCAGCCGCGGUAAUCCC